rnacentral:rRNA from 1 species
CCUACGGGUGGCUGCAGUCGAGGAUCUUCGGCAAUGGGGGCAACCCUGACCGAGCGACGCCGCGUGCGCGACGAAGGCCUUCGGGUUGUAAAGCGCUGUCGAGGGGGGGAAAAGCCCGCGAGGGUGUGAUCGAUCCCUGGAGGAAGCACGGGCUAAGUUCGUGCCAGCAGCCGCGGUAAGACGAACCGUGCGAACGUUGUUCGGAAUCACUGGGCUUAAAGGGCGCGUAGGCGGGCCGCCGCGUCCGGGGUGAAAUCCCACGGCUCAACCGUGGA